rnacentral:miRNA from 1 species
GCGGAUUCUUGAACCAGUCCUGCUGC